UACGGAGGGUGCAAACGUUGCUCGGAAUUAUUGGGCGUAAAGCGCACGUAGGCGGACCAUCAAGUCGGAUGUGAAAUCCCUCGGCUUAACCGAGGACGUGCACUCGAUACUGAUGGCCUUGAGUACGAAAGAGGAUCGCGGAAUUCCCGGUGUAGAGGUGAAAUUCGUAGAUAUCGGGAGGAACACCAAUUGCGUAGGCAGCUUACUACACGAUCAUUGACGCUGAGGCACGAAAGCGUGGGGAGCAAACAGG
rnacentral:rRNA from 1 species